UGAGGAAUAUUGGUCAAUGGACGGAAGUNUGAACCAGCCAAGUAGCGUGCAGGAUGACGGCCCUAUGGGUUGUAAACUGCUUUUGUAUGGGGAUAAAGUUAGGGACGUGUCCCUAUUUGCAGGUACCAUACGAAUAAGGACCGGCUAAUUCCGUGCCAGCAGCCGCGGUAAUACGGAAGGUCCAGGCGUUAUCCGGAUUUAUUGGGUUUAAAGGGAGCGUAGGCUGGAGAUUAAGUGUGUUGUGAAAUGUAGACGCUCAACGUCUGAAUUGCAGCGCAUACUGGUUUCCUUGAGUACGCACAACGUUGGCGGAAUUCGUCGUGUAGCGGUGAAAUGCUUAGAUAUGACGAAGAACUCCGAUUGCGAAGGCAGCUGACGGGAGCGCAACUGACGCUUAAGCUCGAAGGUGCGGGUAUCAAACAGGAUUAGAUACCCUGGUAGUCCGCACAGUAAACGAUGGAUGCCCGCUGUUGGUACCUGGUAUCAGCGGCUAAGCGAAAGCAUUAAGCAUCCCACCUGGGGAGUACGCCGGCAACGGUG
rnacentral:rRNA from 1 species